rnacentral:rRNA from 1 species
AUUACCGCGGCUGCUGGCACGGAGUUAGCCGGUGCUUCUUCUGCGAGUAACGUCAAUCGCCAAGGUUAUUAACCUUAAUGCCUUCCUCCUCGCUGAAAGUACUUUACAACCCGAAGGCCUUCUUCAUACACGCGGCAUGGCUGCAUCAGGCUUGCGCCCAUUGUGCAAUAUUCCCCACUGCUGCCUCCCGUAGGAG